rnacentral:rRNA from 1 species
CUACGGGAGGCAGCAGUGGGGAAUUUUGGACAAUGGGCGAAAGCCUAAUCCAGCAAAGCCGCGUAUGUGAAGAAGGCCUUCGGGUUGUAAAGCACUUUUGUCUUGAAAGUUAUAAUCGUGGUUAAUCCGGGACGUUGGUAAA